rnacentral:tRNA from 1 species
GCCCUUGUAGCUCAGUUGGUAGAGCGCGUCCUUGGUAAGGACGAGGUCGGCAGUUCAAAUCUGCUCGGGGGCUCCA